CUUUCAUGGAUCAUUUCUAUAGUUUUUGACUUGAGAAAUGUGUUUCUAAAGUGUUUUGUCUCGCUAUCCACGAUGAUAAGAUUUUAGUACUCCUUUUUGAGCGCGAAGAGGGUAGAGAUUGAAGAGUUUACUCUUUUGAUCUCUGCUUUUGAUGACCGUUCCUUGUUUCCCCUGGGGAUUUGGAGGAAGGGAGUAUAGCCAGAGUGGUACCAGCAUUAUGUACUUGUGAACGUUAUUCAUUAAUAUAAAUUGGUAACGUAGAUCUCAAUCUUGAUAAUUUGUUUAAUAAUUGUGACCGCACCCCACCUUUGACAUACUGCACAAGCGACAAAUAAAAUAAACAACAGAAGUAUACAUUUUUCUGUACAUAAAUUCGACAUUAUUCAGGAAGAGUGUAAUACGUGUUUUUCGUAAUUGUUACAAUUGUACCAUACAAACAAAUACAUAUUAACAAAAUAGAUAUGAAGUGCUACAACAAAGGCUUGUAUAGCCUAGUAGUGAAUUCAUAGUUGCAUCUAUUGAGCAAAAGAGGCGGCGUUUUACGCCACCUGCCAAGUACACCCGCUCGACAAGAAGCGGCUCAACUCGUGCAUGUGCUACUGAGCUUGCUGAACAUACUGGAGUCUGGAGAAGUAUUCAGGGCCGCUUUCUUCUCGUCUUCAAAAGCAUCGGGGAGGAACUGCGUGCCCUUGUGUCAGUGAUUGACGUGAGGAAAGUUUAUUCUGUUUUUUUGGAUCGACAGCAGCAUUAGACCAGGUUAUUCAUUCUGACUAGUGCACGGAUUCUUCCUUCAAUACCGGACCACGACUGGGGAUUUAAACAUUUUAAAAUGUAUUUAAAUAUGUAGAAGAAGACUGCUGGCAGACAACCGGUCCUAAACGGCACUAUUCAUUUUAAACCAUCUGAACUUUUGUCUGGAAUGGAAAAGUGUAGUUUGAAAGCCUUGCUAAUCUAUGUUAAACUCAUCCUGUCCGUGAAAAUAUGAAAUAUAAAUCAUGUUUAACAUUGCUACAGAUGGAGAAACGUCCACACCAUUUUCUAAGAAUUUAGAAGACUUUGAUUCCAUACGCAGUGUGCUUCUAUACAGGUGGGGCAUGGGUGAUUCUGUGCCCCUCGUCUUUUUUCUAUCCAGCAAAAGGAAAGCGUCCACGUUGUCAUGGCAACGUGAAGAUCAGCCAACCACACCGAGACAAUUUUUGUCACGUGGCAAAGUUGUAGUUCACGUAUGCAGACAACAUGGCGAAAGACUGCCAAUGCUCAUUCAACUAUCUCGAACUGAUUUACUUGGAAGUUUAGAGUAACUUGUAGCUUGUUGUCGAACACAUUUAAUACAUUGAAUAAUGGCUACUAAAAAGUCUGGCGGAACGCUCGAGAUGCAUGCAGAUGCGCGCGAGCCCCCGAGACAGCAGGGUGACGACAGGGAGAAUGUGCAUUGCAAAAUGAGCGAUAGUGAAUCAACAGGCACUCGGCAACCACUACACCACUUUACAGUGAGUGUGCAACCUAGUCGCUUCCAGUGAUCUGCCUCGGUUGUCAAGUUAUGAAGUUGAGGUGGAACUGGCAGCUGAUGGAAGAUGACUAGCUAGCUAACAUGGUAUUGGGCACAGCCCAAUGUUUUUUCUUUCUGUCUCUUCUAAAGCAACAAGCAAUAAUAUACAUGUUUUUCUUACUCGGAGUACUCGGACUGACUGUCUGUUGAUUCAUUAUCGCUCAUUUUGCCAUGCACAGUCUCCAUGUCCGUCGCCCUGCUGUCUCGGGAACUCGCGCGCAUCUGCAUGCAUCUCGAACUUUCCGCCAAAAUCA
ensembl:lncRNA